UUCGUAGGUGGUCUUGUCAGUCUGAAGUUAAAGCCCGGGGCUCAACCCCGGCCCGCUUUGGAUACUGCAAGACUAGAGUAUUAGAGAGGUUAGUGGAACUCCAUGUGAAGCGGUGGAAUGCGUAGAUAUAUGGAAGAACACCAAUGGCGAAGGCAACUAACUGGCUAAUAACUGACACUGAGGAACGAAAGCGUGGGUAGCAAACA
rnacentral:rRNA from 1 species